ACUGCUCAGUAACACGUGGACAACCUGCCCUUAGGUUGGGUAUAAACCCGGGAAACUGGGUAUAAUACCCGAUAGGUCUCGAUUGCUGGAAUGCAUCGAGAUUUAAAGCUCCGGCGCCUAAGGAUGGGUCUGCGGCCUAUCCGGUAGUAGUGGGUGUAGCGUACCUACUAGCCUACGACGGGUACGGGUUGUGAGAGCAAGAGCCCGGAGAUGGAUUCUGAGACACGAAUCCAGGCCCUACGGGGUGCAGCAGGCGCGAAAACUUUACAAUGCUGGCAACAGCGAUAAGGGAACCUCGAGUGCCAGGUUACAAAUCUGGCUGUCGAGAUGCCUAAAAAGCAUUUCAUAGCAAGGGCCGGGCAAGACCGGUGCCAGCCGCCGCGGUAACACCGGCGGCUCGAGUGGUAACCGUUAUUAUUGGGUCUAAAGGGUCUGUAGCCGGCCGGAUAAGUCUCUUGAGAAAUCUGGCAGCUUAACUGUCAGGCUUUCAGGAGAUACUGUCUGGCUCGAGGCCGGGAGAGGUGAGAGGUACUUCAGGGGUAGGGGUGAAAUCUUGUAAUCCUUGAAGGACCACCAGUGGCGAAGGCGUCUCACCAGAACGGACCUGACGGCAAGGGACGAAAGCUAGGGGCACGAACCGGAUUAGAUACCCGGGUAGUCCUAGCCGUAAACGAUACUCGCUAGGUGUCGGCCACGGUGCGACCGUUGUCGGUGCCGUAGGGAAGCCGUGAAGCGAGCCACCUGGGAAGUACGGCCGCAAGGCUGAAACUUAAAGGAAUUGGCGGGGGAGCACCACAACGGGUGGAGCUUGCGGUUUAAUUGGAUUCAACGCCGGA
rnacentral:rRNA from 1 species